UUGUCUUCCUUCAGAUUUCCUAAUCCACAAGUUCUUCUAAAGUCUUACAGGCCUUGCUUCUAACAGCAGAAGACAUAUACAGUCCUGAUGGUCUUGCCCUCGAAGACCAUGGAGGAUGCUGAGGAGUGAGUCCUCUAGAGAACUUCAGUUCCAUCCAGGUACAAUAGUUGUACAUCUUCUGAUUCUGGAAGCUGUGCUGGAAAUGUUGUUAAUAUGGGAACUUUGGGUGCGGGAAGGAACAAGUCAGAAGGAGAAAUAAUGAAUGAGUUCUGGGUACGAGCCUCUGAGGCAAGGGACUGCCAUCUGUACGGAGCUCUGUGACUUACCUGGAAGCCUGACUUCACCUCUACUACCUCAGCUGAACUUUGUGACGAUUCCAAAACCCUGACUGCCAGUUUUGCUGCCAGCUUGAGUGCCGUGGCAGAAACUGCUCUGACUGUGCCCGGAUUCCUGAUCCGUAGAUAUUAAGAUAACGAAGGUCCGUCAUCUUUUAGGCUUGGUGAACCAGUGAUUUCGUGGGUGACUUACAGGAACAUGAAUGCCUCAAGGGCAGUUAUGUCAAUAAAAAGUCCAAUCCAGCAUUGGUGAUUACACCUGAAAGCUGAGUACCCGGUACUCCCUGUUCAGCUUGCGAGGCUGCUUAUGUGAGCUCAGGAGGAAAGGCUAGCCUGCCUUGUGAUCUUUAAGAUGUAAACAGAUUAGUCUUACUUCUUUGAAUACUUUCUAUGUGUAUAUAAUGUACUUUGAUCAUAUUUGAACAUAGUCACCCUCCCCCAACUCCUCCCCCAGAAUUCCUUCACCUCUACCCGCUCCCAACUUCUAUUUCCUUCUCAUUCUAGUCCGAGUCUAGUUUGUGGUACAUAAACUCCUGAGUGUAGGACCACCAGCCCGAGCAAAGUUCACGUAUCCAGGCCAAACUCUUAAGGACAAUUGACUCUCCUUUCUCAAGCAGCCAUCAGCUGUCAGUAAUUCUUCAGCUGCGGACGGGGCCUCACAAACACCUCCUCCCUGCUGUCUUGCUCCACGCUCCAUGCGCUUCCUUGCUCUGCUCCCUGUCUUGACCUUGCACACAGCUUGUGUGGGCAGCCACAGUUUCUGUGAGUUCGUCAGUGCGGUGGUCCUGGGAUGUCCAGAAGACACCGUUCCACAUCAGUACUCCCUGCCUUGGAUCCUAAAAUCUUGGGGUUCUGUCUUCCCUUGUAGGGAAGCUGUUGAUAUGAGUGUCUGUUGAUAGGCAUUGCCCACUAGACUCCGGUGGCAAGACCCUAUUGGUCAUGGGAUACAUGUGACUAAGCACUCCAUAGACACUCAUUCUCUUUGCUUUGACCAGCUGAGAAUUUUUCUAUUAACCGAAGUCGACUGCACAAAGAAAUUUCUCCAAUGAGGUCUGGGAGUUGCAAUAAUAUAUGGGAAGAGAGAUAGAAAUUUAGACAACAGUUUGAAACUAUCUCCAUUUUGCAUAACUAAACUAGUAAGUUCACCCCUGGGCCCUGUGAGCUCCACAGUCAUGGGUUCUUGGCUAAAACAGGCAUGGAUUUCUUCCUGCGGAAACAUUUGGUUACUCUGAUAACACUUAUGCCACGAUUGUACCCGUGUACAUCUCUUGUCUCGUCAGCUCACAGCGUUCACCACUGGGUAAGAGUGCUGAGACUCCUCCCCUGCUCCAGCCUGCAUAUUACCUCCUGGUUCUAUGAGAGCUAGCUAGUAAGGACACUUCCUUGUCAGAACCAAUUUGAUUUCUUUAUUUCCUGUGACCAAACUAUGUGGUGGCUUCCAUAAUAAGGUCUUAUCAUCAAUUCUAGUGGGCAACCAAGAGCAAUGCCAAUUACCUGUAUUUUGGGAGAUCUUUGAAAAACUCCUGGCUAACAUUAUUUUUAGCUAUUAGGUUAAGCAUAAUAUAAUUUAUUUAAAAUAGGUCAAUAGAUAGCUAAUAGAGACUUGUUUGGAAAAGUCCACUUUUUGGGGUGUGUGUGCAUAUUUAUGCAUG